rnacentral:rRNA from 1 species
AUUGAACGCUGGCGGCAGGCCUAACACAUGCAAGUCGAGCGGCAGCGGGAAAGUAGCUUGCUACUUUUGCCGGCGAGCGGCGGACGGGUGAGUAAUGCCUGGGAAAUUGCCCAGUCGAGGGGGAUAACAGUUGGAAACGACUGCUAAUACCGCAUACGCCCUACGGGGGAAAGCAGGGGACCUUCGGGCCUUGCGCGAUUGGAUGUGCCCAGGUGGGAUUAGCUAGUUGGUGAGGUAAUGGCUCACCAAGGCGACGAUCCCUAGCUGGUCUGAGAGGAUGAUCAGCCACACUGGAACUGAGACACGGUCCAGACUCCUACGGGAGGCAGCAGUGGGGAAUAUUGCACAAUGGGGGAAACCCUGAUGCAGCCAUGCCGCGUGUGUGAAGAAGGCCUUCGGGUUGUAAAGCACUUUCAGCGAGGAGGAAAGGUUGAUGCCUAAUACGUAUCAACUGUGACGUUACUCGCAGAAGAAGCACCGGCUAACUCCGUGCCAGCCGCCGCAGUAACAC